rnacentral:lncRNA from 1 species
CGGGAGUCUCCAGCUGGGUCUGCAUCUGCACAACUGUCGGGACUCUGCUCCUUUUAAGUCUUAAAUCAGCCAUCAACAGGUUAGGUCACAGAAACUGCAGCUUAAAGACAUUGGUUUCCAUCGUCUCUACACUUCAGUCCUGGCAGCAGCAAAGAGGAGGACGGUGAACACACAGGAGGAGGAGCUGCGAGAACAGACGUGGAAUGACAGCGCCGAAGGCUGGCCAGAUGACCAACUCGAAAACAGGUUCCACCCCAGAGGUGAAGCUUUAGAGAGAAACCGGUGAGUAAAGGAAAGCAGAAUGCCGAGCAGAUGGCAAGUUGUCUGAGGUGUGAGGCAUGGAAUCAGGAAGGGAAAGCUGCACAUUUGCCGGCUCAGAACUGCUAAGAAAAGGCCAUCUCAGCAACACAACUCAACUCCCUGCCCACAGAUAGUGGUUGGAAGUUGUAGAAAUGACACUGGCGCAAUUGUUUGGGAUGCUCACUCCACUUUGUACAGCCUAUUGCAUAACAUCACAUCCCCUGAUGCUCCCUCUUCACGUGC